rnacentral:rRNA from 1 species
UAGUGAGUUUGAUCCUGGCUCAGGACGAACGCUGGCGGCGUGCUUAACACAUGCAAGUCGAACGAUGAAGCCCAGCUUGCUGGGUGGAUUAGUGGCGAACGGGUGAGUAACACGUGAGUAACCUGCCCUGGACUCUGGGAUAACCCCGAGAAUCGGAGCUAAUACCGGAUAGGACCUUUCCCCGCAGUGGGGGUUUGGUGGUAAAGUUUUUUCGGCCAGGGAUGUGCUCGCGGCCUAUCAGCUUGA